GGGAAGGAUUUUGGCUGUAAAUGCAAACGUGGGAUCAAAACACACAAAUCAGCAGCUAAGCACUGAGCCAUCAGCGCAGCGCCUCUUCUGUGAUUUGUCUGAAGCUGGUUGAGAACGCUGCUGGUUAUUGACUGUUCUUCCUUUUUCAGUGAUGCCACAUUGAUUUGUCCAUAGGAUGCUGGCUUUGCUUAUUGCAGCACAUGGCAGUGCGUGCCUCACCAUACUCACUCUGUGAUGUUAUCACGCAGGGAUGGUGCGGCCACGAGGAGCAACUUCGUAGGCGGUGAGGCCGAAUGUCACACUGUGCUGAGGGGGCACGUGGGCUCGUGGAGAGGUGUUGGGAAAUGCAGGAAAACUGCAGCUCGCCCACGGCAGCUCUGUGUCCCUCAGCUCUGCUCCACUCUACAAAGUGAUGUCAUCAUGUACUGCUUUAGUCCUGAGGUGCCUCCAAUGGCCGCUGUGCCAUCUCAGCUGCUCUUCAGAGCUUCUGCAAAUGAACUCCAUCUCUAUCUCCACAGCAACAACUCACAAACAGAGGCCUAUGACUUCAGCUGAGGAGCAUGCAGCAGGCAUUGAUGAGCUGCCAAGCAACGAAGAUUUGGUUUCAGGGUGGAUGCAGAAGCCAGAUAGUGACAUUUUUCUUGGGUUUUUGUCUGCCCUCCUUCCGGUGAAUUCCCACUGAAGAUAAUUUGGGCUCCGAGAGAAGAAACCCCUCCCCGGGAACUUGUUAUUUCAGUAACAGCUGAGUAAGGCCCAUGGAGGUCUUCAGGCUUCAGACAACCCUUUGGAAGCAAUAAUAACAGCAAGGAAAGAAACAAGAUGGAAAGCAUGGCCCGUGGCCAUCGAUCUACCCAGGCAGUUUGCUGCUGGUGGCACUUCAGCUGGAUGCAAAACCAGCACGAAAAAAAAAACCAAACCACGAUCCAAGUACAAGGUGCCAACAAGUUCAUCUUUAAUUAGCAGUUAAUUAGUUGUUUUGCUCAUUCGUCAGAGCACGAAUGUUUCCCAGCUGUGUAUCUAAACAGUAUUCCUCAGCCUUUCAGGCCCCCCUGUGAUCCCUGCAUCACUGAACAGCCCUGGAGUUCCCUCCAUUCCCCCCGUGGGUGCAGUCCCGCAGCCAUGGGAGCUCUCAGUGGGGGCGAUGCUCUGCGGUGCCUCAGUUCCAGCCCUGCUCUGUGCUCCCUGCCCAGCACUGCAGGGCUUUCCAGUCCUCCUACACGAGAGAGCAAUGCUUUCUCUGAAGCGUCCUUAGGCAGCCUACCUGCCUGGUGAAGGAUGACUAUUCCUAAAUGGCUUUGCAGUCUUUUGAAAAACCAGUCAUGAAAUAAUUGAGUCAAGCUUUCGUGAAAUAGAUCUUAAUUUUAUUCUAUGGAUGUCAUAGAUCUGAAAUUCUCAAAUGCUGAUGAACUUCCGUACAAACGCUUUAUGAUACUGGAAGUUCCCAGUGCUUGCAGUGCAGUCCUGCAGCGGUGUGGUGUUGGCAUAAGAACAAAUGGGAG
rnacentral:lncRNA from 1 species